UUGAGAAUGGCGUUUUCAACAAAGAAAGUGGACAUAAACAGUCGAAGGAUUAUCGGAUUUCACUGUGCACGUGUAAUCUUACUAGACGUGACUGCUCCAUUUGAGAAACAAGCUGGGAUCUCGUUGACUGACGCUCUGGAAAACGUACUGUGCAUCAGUGGAAAGAUGGAAGGUCCUUCUCGCAUACCCCUGAUUUCUAUAUAUUUACUGACAUCAAAACCACAACAAAUCUUGCCAUUCUCUUGU
rnacentral:sRNA from 1 species